AGGAGAGUCAACAUGUGACGCCAUGGGGGUAGGACGCCGGGAACUAUUCUCCGCCACCAGUGCAUCAGUGCACUCAGUCUUGAGGAUGGGAACAUACUUUGAAAACCACUUUUGUCAUGGAACAGAAGGCCAGAAUCAUAACUUCAACUGUGGCUUUCCAACCUAGGACUUCCAUCCUGCAGCACAGGACUGAUAACAGCCAGCCAGCCUUAAUGUAGUGCGGCAAUUCUGGAAAGUUAUGCUGUAUAGAAACUAUGUAGAAACACAAGACGCCAUUGGAUAUCUUGCUCUGGUUUCUCUUCCCCUAAUUGCUUCUCUGGGCACUAUGCAACCCUUCAAAGUGUUUUCAUGAAUCCCAUUCUACUUUCCCAACAGCCUCUGCUAGGAAGCUGCAAUGGUUACUUACCUUGGGGUGGCUCCACUGCUUUACAAUGGAGGAAGAAGGGUUCCCCUGCUUGAAGGCUUGACUUCUGACCUGAUGGAAUUAGCACGUACACGCCGAUGUUUUACCUUUUUACAAAUCAUGACAUCUGUGUGUAUGUGUGUGUGAGAGAGAGAGAGAAAGAGAGAGAGAGAAAGAGAGAGAGAGAGAGAGAGAGAGAGAGAGAGAGAGAGAGAGAGAGAGAGAGAGAGAGAGAGAGAGAGAGAGAGAGAGAGCAUGCGUGGAGGUCAGAGGACAAUUUUUGGGACUCAGUUCUCUCUUUUCACCAUAUGAGCCCUGGGUAUUGAACUCAGGUCUCCAGACUACGUGGUGUGCCCUUGCCUGCCGAGCCACCUCUCUGGCCCACUUUCUUCAUCUUUAAUAUGAGCAAAUAAAAAUGUCAUUCUUACAGCAGUAUCCUGAGGAGCAAAUCAAAUGAGAAAGUAUUUUGCAAAUUGCAAAAAAAUCUCAAGGUUUUGUUGUAAUACAUUUUAACAAAUACUUGGGAAAUAAAUGAGAGAUUUAUAGCCAUGUUGGACAAUAAAGUCUAAACUGUGCUACAUAA